rnacentral:lncRNA from 1 species
UUUGAAGUGGAAAAGGAGUGGGUGGUAGGGGGGGUGUGUGGCUUUAGGGUCUCUGGCUUAGGAAGCUGAGUCUCCGUAGUGCCAUUCAUACAGAUGGAAUGAGGGAAGAAGCAGUUUCAUGGGAAAGUAGUAAAUUUGAUUGAGUAACAAGAGCUUGGGGGAUCCAGAAGAGAGCUAGGUUUGCAGUUCAGGAGUCCAGGAGAGAGUCAAACUGAAAACAUAAGCCCAUGGAUAGUCAGUCAUUGAAGCCAUGGGAAUGAAGAUCACCUAUGGGAAACACAGAUAGAAGCGAAUGUUACCACAGUGAAGUGUGGUCUAUACAAUUAAUUGCUGCAAAGAGGUCAGAUGAGAAAAUGAAGAUGUUAUGUGUCUUUCUCAGCCCAUGAGUAGUAGAUUUUCAGUUCAAAUUCCAACCUUUCUCCAAAUCCAUAUUCCGUACACAGCACCACCUCUCAGCGUAUAUUUGCUAUGUGGUAGCAGAAUCCUUGGUGAAUGAGCAUCGAAAGGCAUGUUUUGAUCAGGCUGGGAAAUGAGGAGAGAAUGCAAAGAUCUGAAAGGAUCCCCUGUCUGGAAUAAAUCUUGGUAAAAGAUGCUACGAAAGCUGAACCUAGGACAGGAGGAUAUGAAGAGCAAAGGGAGACAGGCAGAAUGAGAAUAUGGUAAUAGCAGAGGUACCAAAGCGUUGUGUAGGGGAAUAAAGUCCAGCAAAGUGGGGAGGAGCAGAAAAGAAGAACCCACGUCCUAGGCCAGCCUACACAGCACUCCUGAGCAGGGGAGAUCUGGUAAUUACUCUAUUGAUUUUACACAUCUGGAUAAAGGAAAUGCCAGUGAUAGGCUGCUGACAACCACCUUUCUCUACUACGCUCCUUAUGUGCAUAUCCAACCACUUAUUUGAAACCUCUACUCUUGAUUUCUCAAGAGUAGAAUUCUUCCCCAAGCCUCCCCAUUUCAGUAAAUUAUUCUACCU